AGUGAACGCUGGCGGUAGGCCUAACACAUGCAAGUCGAACGGCAACACAGUAAGAGCUUGCUCUUACGGGUGGCGAGUGGCGGACGGGUGAGGAAUACAUCGGAAUCUACUUUUUCGGGGGGGAUAACGUAGGGAAACUUACGCUAAUACCGCAUAUGACCUACGGGUGAAAGCAGGGGAUCUUCGGACCUUGCGCGAUUGAAUGAGCCGAUGUCGGAUUAGCUAGUUGGCGGGGUAAAGGCCCACCAAGGCGACGAUCCGUAGCUGAUCUGAGAGGAUGAUCAGCCACACUGGAACUGAGACACGGUCCAGACUCCUACGGGAGGCAGCAGUGGGGAAUAUUCGACAAUGGGCGCAAGCCUGACCCAGCAAUACCGCGUGGGUGAUGAAGGCCUUCGGGUCGUAAAGCCCUUUUGUUAGGAAAGAAAAGCAGCAGGUUAAUCCCUCGCUGUCCUGACGGUACCCAAACAGUAAGCACCGGCUAACUACGUG
rnacentral:rRNA from 1 species